rnacentral:rRNA from 1 species
CCUACGGGUGGCACCAGUGGGGAAUUUUCCGCAAUGGGCGAAAGCCUGACGGAGCAAUGCCGCGUGGAGGUAGAAGGCCUUAGGGUUGUAAAGCUCUUUCACCGGUGAAGAUAAUGACGGUAACCGGAGAAGAAGCCCCGGCUAACUUCGUGCCAGCAGCCGCGGUAAUACGAAGGGGGCUAGCGUUGUUCGGAAUUACUGGGCGUAAAGCGCGCGUAGGCGGAUAGAUAAGUCAGAGGUGAAAUCCCGGGGCUCAACCCCGGAAUUGCCUUUGAUACUGUUUAUCUUGAGUGCAGAAGAGGUAAGUGGAAUUCCGAGUGUAGAGGUGAAAUUCGUAGAUAUUGGGAAGAACACCGGUGGCGAAGGCGGCAACCUGGCUCGAUACUGACGCUGAGGCGCGAAAGCGUGGGGAGCAAACAGGAUUAGAUACCCUUGUAGUC